rnacentral:rRNA from 1 species
CCUACGGGGGGCUGCAGUGAGGAAUAUUGGUCAAUGGACGAGAGUCUGAACCAGCCAAGUAGCGUGAAGGAUGACUGCCCUAUGGGUUGUAAACUUCUUUUAUAUGGGAAUAAAACGUUCCACGUGUGGGAUUUUGUAUGUACCAUAUGAAUAAGGAUCGGCUAACUCCGUGCCAGCAGCCGCGGUAAUACGGAGGAUCCGAGCGCUAUCCGGAUUUAUUGGGUUUAAAGGGAGCGUAGGUGGAUUGUUAAGUCAGUUGUGAAAGUUUGCGGCUCAACCGUAAAAUUGCAGUUGAAACUGGCAGUCUUGAGUACAGUAGAGGUGGGCGGAAUUCGUGGUGUAGCGGUGAAAUGCUUAGAUAUCACGAAGAACUCCGAUUGCGAAGGCAGUUCACUGGACUGCAACUGACACUGAGGCUCGAAAGUGCGGGUAUCAAACAGGAUUAGAUACCCGAGUAGUC